UUACCAAAACCCAUGUGUGGCAUUGAGUACUUGAAAUGUGACGAGAGCAACUAAAAACCUGAGUUUUUAUUUAGUUUUAAUUGUAUUUAAAUAGCUAAAUGUAGCUAGUGGCUACUGUACUUGGAUAGCACAGCAGUAAAGCAGUGGUUCUCAACCUUGUCUGUCCCCUAAAUUCACCCCAGCAGGGACCUUUUAAGAAUCCACAUGAGCAGCCCACACCCCGAAUCAAUUAAAUUACAAUCUCAGUAUUUUUUAAGCUCUCCCUGGGUAUUUCAAACAUGUGGCCAAAGUUGAGAACCGUUGCUCUAAAACCAGUGUUUGUCAAACUAUUGUGCGUAAGAACCUCCUGGGGAUCUUGUUAAAAUGCAGAUUCUGAUUCAGAGGCCUGAGGUGAGAACUGAGAUUCCACAGGUCAAACAAGCACAGGCUGCUGCCCCUGGGCCACACUUGAGUACCAAGGCUCUACCCCAGCCCUUCUAAUCCGUUCACUUACGCAAACAUUAGGUACUUUCUGAGCCCAGUGGCAUGACAGUUCUGGCUUUUACAGUUUCCAUUCUAAUCGGAGAAAUAAUAAGCUUGUGAUCUCAAACAGUGAUAAAUGCUUUGAAGUAAAUAAAACCGUGUAGUGGGAUAAGGAUGUGUGCAGCAACUGCAGAUUUCAGGAGGUGAAUGUUUAGUUUUCGGCUUUCAGGAGCCUACAGGCGAAGAUCUGGAGAAACAUGCUCUCUGGGGAAGAGGCUGCUGAGGCAAGAACAGGCCUGGCAGGAUAACGCUCAGGUGAACAGGGAGAGUGACAGAGGGGGGAUCAGAGAAGGGCAGUGGUGGUCACGGUGAGGAGUCUGGACUGUGUUCUAACUGAACUAAAAGCCGCAGUAGGGCCUUAAGCAAGAGCAUGAGGAAUGCUGAUUUACUCUGAAGAGAUUGCUCACUGCUGAUCUGACUUUCUGAUAGUUUUUCACAGCAUCAUUUAACUGCUAAGGCUUGGUCUCCUCUUUCCCCUUUGCUGAUUUUAUUCCCCCUCACACUGUAAAAAGAAAUACAAAGAUAGGUCUUUAGGUAUAAGAAAAACCAAGGAAUCAUUUUUACUUCUGAGGAAAGCCAAACUCAGAACUAGGCACUUCAGAGAAGCUAGGGUGGAGACUCUGCCAUUGUAAGAAGCAGGCGAGGAACUCAGGGUUGCCCCCCUUCUCCGGAAGCUCCUCGUGGAUGACUUCCGGGGAGGGUGUCAGUAAACUGUAGCCCACCUUCCUUCUGCCAGAUUCUUGCCUUAGGCAGCAAGACGAUAGAAGGUGUAACAAAUAAAGAGCAGCAGGAGGAAAGAAGGGACCCAGUGGCCACCUUUUGUCUGAAAAAAAACCUGCCGAAGUGAGAGACUGCCUCUGUUUGGAGUCACAGAAAAGCCAAGCCAGAGAUCAGGACUCAGCUACUGCAAAGGAGUAAAUUUGUGAAGUACGAUAGCUGAUGACAUCCUGGAACACACUUUGGACCAUGCUGCAUAAUGCUCCCCACCAGCUAUGUCACAUCUUAAGUUUCGGGACCUGUGAAUAUUUAUAUGGCAAAAGGAGACUUUGCAGAUAUGAUUAAGUUAAGGAUCUUGAGAUAAGAGAUUAUUAUGGACCAUCUGGUGGGCCCUCAAUGCUAUCAUAAGUGUCCACAUAAGAGGGAAGCAGAGGGAGAUCUGACUACAGAGGAAGAAGGCAAUGGAAGCAGAGAGACUUGAUGCUAAGCUGUUGCUGCUAAACAAAGAGGAGGAGCCAUGAGCCACAGAAUGCAGCUCUAGAGACUGGAAAAGGAGGGCAAAGAUUCUCUCCUAGAGCCUACAGAAGGAGCAUGCCCUGCCAACACCCUGGUUUUUGCCCAGUGAAACCAUUUUGGACUUCUGACCUCCAGAACUACAAGACAAUAAAUGUGUUGUUUUGAAGUCCCCACAUUUGUGGUAAUUUGUUACAGCAGUCAUACGAAAUGAAUACAAUGAGUUAAGGUCUAGGAAUCGGGGAAGGAGAGCAGAAAGCAUAAGAGUUAAAGUCCCACAUAGCUGGAUUGGAACUCUACUCUUCAACUUACUGACUUGGCUGUGGUCCAGACUUCUCCAAUUCUCAGCUUCUUCAUCUGAAAAUUGGGGCUAACAACUUCCUCAUGUUUAGUGUGAGUAUUCAAUGAGAAGGGAAGUAGCAGAUGGAUCGCAGGGAGUAUUCAAAUGUUGGCUCCCUCUCCCUGGCUGUUUUCUCUUCAGAGGAACUGCCAGAACCUUGUCUUCUCCCAGGCGGCUCCUACUGUGGAAGUCACACAAGGACCCCCGAAGACCCAGGGUGAGAUCAUUGUUGGCCUUGCUCGGUAUCAUAUAUGUGCCCGCUGUGCGAAUAUCCACCAAGAGAGGCUGAUUCAAUUGUUCUCAUCCUCUAAUUACAGUUUUUACCCAACAUAAUAGAUAAUCAGAUGCAGGCCCAGUAACAAGAAUCAUCCCUUACCUCUUAGCUACUGUGAUAAUUAAUUUUACAUGUCAGCCUGACUGGGCGAUGGGAUGCCUGGGUAUGUCUAUGAGGGUGUUUCCAGAAGAGAUGAGCAUUUGAACUGGUGAACUGAGUAACGCAGAUGGCCCUCCCCAUGUGGUGGGAAUCAUCCAAUCCAUUCAGGGCCCAAAUAGAACAAAAAGGCAGAAGAAGGGCAAAUUCACUCUCUCUGCUUGAGCUGAGACAUCCAUCUUCUGCCCUCAGACAGCAGCACUCCUGGUUCUCAGGCCUCGGGACGUGGACUGAAUUAUACCACCAGCUUUCCUGGGUCUCCAGCUUGUGGAGAGCAGAUUGUGGGCCUUCGCAGCCGCCAUAAUCACGGAGAUAAGAGGGCAAGAUGAGGAUCACUGCAACAGUCUGAGAAGUCACCAUGAUCUGACAGCCCUUUACGGACAGGCCCUGUUUAUCUGGGCUGGGAAGAACAUGGAGCCCAGAAGUCUGAAUGGGCCACUGAAAGUUCAUUACAGCAACAGAAGCCUGCCCAUGUGUACUCACUGCAAAGAAGGUCAAAUCCUCUGCCUUAAAUGUUUAACUUGAGCCCUAUCCUGUGUCCUCCUAUAACCCUGAGAUGUGUAUAGCUUCAAAACAUGACACUGAAAGGACUGACGGUGUGAUUUAUUUAGUUUCAGUAUACUGCAGUGGAUUACAAAUAAUCUCUACGUUUAAAUGGAAACUCUUCUGUCAUAAGAGAGCAAGCUGUAACUCAAGGACUGGAGCCGGUUUCCCCCAUCCUCGCAGCACUGGCUCUGGCCAGUCAGCAUUCACAUCAAACUGACCCGUCUAUUAGCCAAGCCCUCUCUCCCGACUGCCAGCCUUCUGAAUGGAAUGACAAGGGGCCAUGUCUUUAAAAAUGUCAAGGAGCAGAAAUCUCUGCUGAUUCCCCCAGGAACCUGUAAAGGCACGGGUUCUUUAAAGCAAGCUAGAGAAUGAACCUGUCAGUGGGUCGGCUCUGUGGAAGAACAAUCCUGUUCCCGCCCCCUGUUCUCCAGUAGUGUGCUAGUGGCUCU